GGACUGGUCAAACAGCAUUUCUGAUCCCGUUUCUGACCUGAAAUUAGCUGAAAUGUACCUGAAAUUACCUGAAAUUAGAGUGUGCCCGCCCGAGCGAGUGAUGCCUAAAACAUGCAAAGACACGUCAGUGUAAUUGUGGAUGGCGAGAGCCCUGAAAUACAGCUGGACAGCAGCGGUCUACAUCACUGCCCCUUCUGCAGAUACAAAGGGUCAAAAUGUGAUAUCGACGAUCACAUUAAAUGGCAUGCCUCGGUUAAAUACAGAGGUCUGCAGAGGAGCUUUCAGGAAGCAGGAAGAGAAGACGGGGAGGAAAAAAAGCUACAGACAAAACUGAAGACCAGGAACUGAAACCUGGGAACCUGGAAGAUUAUGUUGUCCUGAAGGACACAAUUCAGGCAGCAGCAUGGUGCCAUUUACAGUCCUUCAAGGACAGCGUUUCUCUCCCAGAGGUCAUUGGGAUGGAAGGUUGGGAGCAGAUGGCAGCAUCAACACAGCGCGAAUCCCAUGACGGCGGGGAUGAGGAAGAAACGUGGAAACCAUUCCAAUUCUCGUUCAGAUUACAUACUGACUAUGAACUGUUCUGUGUGGAGAUGUUGGACAGGAGAAACCUGAAGGUGUUUGCCUCUUUUGAGUCGAACACCUCUCCCCCUCCCCGUGACGCCUGCGCCACACGACUCCAAUGUAGUCUGAUGAUGCAGCAUAAUGGCGGCACUUGGCAGCUAUGGCGGCGGUGACGGCGAUGUCGGGCGACAGAGCGUGAAGCAAGAGUGGCGUCCACCUCACUGAGGAAGGCGUCAGUGUGUUCCCCCCCCCCCUGUUGAGGGCUUUGUUUGUUC
ensembl:lncRNA